UGAAGUAUGCCGUAGUUCAGGUCCUGGAUCAAAAGAACGAACCAUAUGCAGUAUGGAUCAAAGAUGACAUCUGUUGUUGGCCACCACUCAGCCUCAGAAAAAAGAACAAAAUAAAUAAUUUAGCCAUCGUGUGUUAGCCACCAGACAGCACCUGGGAAAGAAGUGAAGCAUUAUUAAUGAAAAAAUCCAUACAACUAAGAAGUAACUUGUAAUUUUCCACAAGGUUAACUUUUAACCUUUUAAAUUUAGUUUACAUUUUUCUGGGAAGAAAUCCCAAAACUCCAGCAAGAAAACAAAUCACUGAAGGAAGACCGGGCAGAAAUGCAGAGUCCAGCAGGAAAACAGAGCCCUGAGGGAAGAAGUUAAGGUGCUAUGGAGUGGGCCAGCAGGUCCAGGUGGUAUCAGAUGACUGAGUGAAAAAGUGGUGCAGGUUGCUACCAUACUAAGGACUUUUACUUCAAGUGGGCAAUCAGAUCUGGAUAACACACUUUUGCUGCAGCGUAUUGGAGCAGUGGAUGACCCAACGCUUGAGAUGGAUAACAAGAUGAAUACCGUGUUAGCCUAUCAACAGACCAAUGGGUCGGGUCGGUUGGAGCUUUGUCCUUACCUGAUGAUCUCAAUCUCCCGAUGGAGGACCGGCAAGACCUGGAGCUGCUGGAGACCAGGCUGACCAGGACACGAGCCCAAGGAGAGACUUGUAAGUGUGCUCAGAAUUUUAAAUAGUAUGACUUUUUCCUGGAAGGUAAAAGAGACAUUCAACUUUGACCCUGUUGUUGUGACUGUUGUAACCUGACGUAACGGCAGCAUGUUCUAAAUUCCUCCACUCAGUAUUUUGGCAUAAGGCAUUAUAUUACAUGUAAGUAAUUGACAUCCUGUAAUGAUGUGCGCUGAGAGUCAGGAAGCAGGUUCAGCGAGUGAGUGUUUUAAUAAAUAAAUAAAUGCAACAUAGUACAAAACAAGAAACACUAACAGCACAGACAAGAAACAGAAGCAAUGACACCUGGGGAAGGAACCAAAGGGAGUGACAUAUAUAGGGAAGGUAAUCAGUGAAGUGAUGGAGUCUAGGUGAGUCUGAUGACACGCAGGUGCGCGUAUCGAUGGUGACAGGUGUGCGCCAUAACGAGCAGCCUGGUGACCUGGAGAGGGAGCACACGUGACACAUCCGUUUUUAUAGACUGUCACAAUAAAUGUUUAUAAAAUAUAGGGAGUUGGGGAGGGAAAUAUGUUAACAUAGUGUGUCAUUUCUAAUACUUUUACAUUUGUAGCUUACAGUGGUUGCUCCACUAAAAGUUUUGCGAUUAUGAUGCGGGACUUAGAGGUCAUUUGUGGUUUAGUACGGUACCCUGCGUCGCCACUUCAUUGCUCCA